GGUUUUGUCGUUCAAUGGAUAGGACACUCCCCUGCGAAGGGAGAAAUGCAGGUUCGAUUCCUGCCAAGACCA
rnacentral:tRNA from 1 species